rnacentral:lncRNA from 1 species
UUGGGUCAACAAUGCUCUUCAACUUUGUACUUGUUUGGCUUUAUAAAUAUUUUGAUCUGAGUGUCACUGAUGUAGCCAAAAGUGCGUCUGGCAAAUUAAAUCCUGGUACCUUUGAUAACCUUUUUUUUCUUUUAACAACUGGUUCCAAACAGAAUUACAAUGGUUCAAGUGAAAACCCUCCACCCAAGACAAAAACCAUUAAUGGUGGGGAUCCGGUUUUUAUGUGUUUUUUAUUGUCAUCCAAACAAACAAAAAAAAAAACAAAUGACAACUUACAAACCUGGGACAAUAGUCUCACCUCGAAAAAGCAAAUAUACUGUCAGUAAACCUAAAUGCGGACACCCAGACCACAAAAACUUUGGUCUGUUUAACUAAAUGUUGACACACAAACAACAUAUAAGCUGAGUUAACAAAGU